rnacentral:lncRNA from 1 species
GUUAGGUUCACCUCAUUUGCUCAAAUUGCAUAUUUCAAAACUUUUUUUUUUGGAAAAAAGAUUUUUUUGUCAAAUAUACAUGUCUUUGACCUAAAAAUACAAAACCUUUAAAGGAACAAAAAAUAUAAUGCAAAACCUUUAGAAAGGUAGCAACACUUUACAUAUACUACCUGUAACAUAUAUAUACUACCAGUAUUGGUUUUAUAUGUUGUAUUUGUAAUGCACCGCUUGUAUAUAUA